rnacentral:rRNA from 1 species
ACGCACGCUGGCGGCGUGCUUAACACAUGCCAGUCGAACGGUGAAGCGCCUUCCUUUUUGGUGGGUGUGGAUGAGUGGCGAACGGGUGAGUAACACGUGAGUAACCUGCCCCCUUCUUCUGGAUAACCGCAUGAAAGUGUGGCUAAUACGGGAUAUUCUGGGUCUGUCGCAUGAUGGGUCUGGGAAAGAUAUUGUUUCGGUGGGGGAUGGGCUCGCGGCCUAUCAGCUUGUUGGUGGGGUGAUGGCCUACCAAGGCGGUGACGGGUAGCCGGCCUGAGAGGGUGGACGGUCACACUGGGACUGAGACACGGCCCAGACUCCUACGGGAGGCAGCAGUGGGGAAUAUUGCACAAUGGGCGCAAGCCUGAUGCAGCGACGCCGCGUGAGGGAUGGAGGCCUUCGGGUUGUGAACCUCUUUCGCCAGUGAAGCAGGCCUGCCUCGUUUGUGGGUGGGUUGACGGUAGCUGGAGAAGAAGCGCCGGCUAACUACGUG